GCUGGCGGCGCGCCUAACACAUGCAAGUCGAGCGAGAACCAGGGCUUCGGCCCUGGGGACAGCGGCGAACGGGUGAGUAACACGUGGAUAACCUGCCCUCGGCACCGGAAUAGCCCGGGGAAACUCGGAUUAAUGCCGGAUAGCCCCACAUCCCUGCGGGGAACGUGGGAAAAGGUAGCUUCGGCCUCUGGCCGAGGAUGGGUCCGCGGUGGAUUAGCUUGUUGGCGGGGUAACGGCCCACCAAGGCGACGAUCCAUAGCUGGUCUGAGAGGACGAUCAGCCACACUGGGACUGAGACACGGCCCAGACUCCCACGGGAGGCAGCAGUGGGGAAUCUUGCGCAAUGGGCGAAAGCCUGACGCAGCGACGCCGCGUGCGGGAAGAAGGCCUUCGGGUUGUAAACCGCUUUCAGGAGGGACGAAGCCACUCGGGUGAAUAGCCCAGAGGGUGACGGUACCUCCAGAAGAAGCCCCGGCUAACUACGUGCCAGCAGCCGCGGUAAUACGUAGGGGGCAAGCGUUGUCCGGAUUCAUUGGGCGUAAAGAGCGUGUAGGCGGCCAGGUAGGUCGGUUGUGAAAACUGGAGGCUCAACCUUCAGACGUCGACCGGAAACCAUCUGG
rnacentral:rRNA from 1 species